AUGGCUUUCUUUUUUGUUUUGUUAUGUUUGUUUGGUAUGCUGACAUAAUUAUACAUGAUGAAAAGUUGGGGCUGCUGCUGGCUCCGGUGGCCCAAGCUGUUGCUCGUUGGGCCAAGGGCAGCUGGUUGGGGGCCUAAGGCUACUUCGCCUGAAUAGUAGAUCCGCCUAUGUGUGUGUGUGCAUUUUUGUUUCAUGUAUAGACCCUACCCACCGACGUCACAAAACCACGUGCUCGCUGUAUGGUUCCGCCCACUUGUCCGUCAUUUUGUCUCUGUAUUAGCAUUGGUUUCAAUUGAUCGAGCAAUUUAUAAUGCAUUUCAUGGAAGACCCGGUGCUUUCUGAUGCCGUAAACUCACUGGAUGUGUUGCAUAAAAGGCGUUAUGUGGAAAAGCUUCGUUCUAUACAGUCGCCAGAUCCAUAUUUGAUGCCCAAAUCGAUGUUUUUCGACCCACUGUCUUCGCCCUGUCUGCCUGACAUCUGCUACGCUGAUAUUUACAAUUAUCUUGUCCACACAAAAUCAGCCUAUUCUCACGAAAAUUUGAAAAACUUCAAGAGCUUGGAGGCUUAUAAAUACUUCGUUGCUGGUUGGGUGAAACAGGUCCUCGUCCACGAAAAUUCGGCAGGAAUCUAUCUUGUACUUGGAAAGUAGCUGGUUCCGUGGACACAUGAAGCUCCAAGAAACGAACCUAUUCUCGAACCAAUUGGCUCAAGUGGAGCAAUGCCUCAUGAGGCUUCAUCUCACCAUCACUACUACCAGGCCAGCUGCAAUUAAGUGGCUUAAGCAGCCACAUGUGGAGGAGUUGUUCGGCAUGCUGGGAGACGUAGUCUUUGGGCUGGUGGCCAUUUUGACAGGAUUCUUCAUCUGUGGCCAAGGAAUGUAAUGGCCCUCCACUACUUGCCCCCGCAUGAUGUCACAUCAUUUACGUAAAUAACUCAUUAUAACAUUGUUGAUACACCGUAAGUGGAUUGACAGAAUGAUGCAUGUUCAGGACAUCUUAACAAUUUCACAAGCUAUCAAAAGAAAAAAACAUCCACCGGACAUGAAUCGUAACCUCAACUUGAGCUUCUCAAACACAGUUUAAAAAGCAUAAUAAUGUAAUAAAAAUAUGCUUACAUGAAUGUUUUUUGAGAUUUGACGGUGAGUUUAACACUGGAAGUCCCAGGGUUUUUUUGGCUAUAAAGAAAGACCAGAAAGGCGUCAUAUGACCCCGAUACCAGACUGACUACUUGGCUUUGUCAAACAAUAGACCACUCAAACAAGCAAUCAAGCAGACACCCCCCCCUUACACACUCCUGUGGAGUCGCUGCCUAGGUGUGAAGGGAUAACUGCAAUUAGCAUCUAAAAUAUUUGCAAAUCCAGGGCUCCCUUGGCUUUGUCAAACACGGAGGAACACGGCGAGUCGCCGUGUUUUACAAUAUGAUUGACAUGGCAGCAAUAAAUGCAUAUGUGUUAUAUCAGGCAUGCACCGUAAGGCAAGAGAGACGGGUGGACUUCUCGGUGGGUCUUGCAAAGGAAUUGGCUCACUCUCAUGUGGGUGCUAAGAAGGCGCAGAAGGAAAAAUUGCUUCGGCAACAUCUCCAACAUCUAGCCCCAGGAAAAAGGCGAAGUGUCAUAUGUCACCACAUUAAAAAAGUUUUUGUUUUUUAUUACACCGUCUCUUGUACUCUAUAUACCGUAAUUUCCCGAAUAUAAGGCGCACCCGUGUAUAAUGCGCACCCCAAAUUUACUUGUACAAUCUAGGGAAAAUUAUUGUACCCGUUUAUAAUGCGCACCCUACUUUUAGCACCAAUAAAUGGAAGAAUACAAGAAAACAGAGCUUGUGUACAGAUACAGAAAUGUCAUUUUACUGACUGGUAAAACACAGCACAAGCAUAGCAUAUUGGUAGUUGACGAUAUUUACCGUAAUAAUAUGAUUUGACUACUUCUCCAACUUACCAGAAUCUAGGAGAAAACAAAACAGAUGUGACUUUUCUUUAAAAGGCUGCUGUA